CCUACGGGAGGCAGCAGUGGGGGAUAUUGCACCAUGGGGGAAACCCUGAUGCAACAACGCCGCGUGAGUGAAGAAGUAUUUCGGUAUGUAAAGCUCUAUCAGCAGGGAAGAGAAUGACGGUACCUGACUAAGAAUCCCCGGCUAACUACGUGCCAGCAACCGCGGUAAUACGUAGGGGGCGAGCGUUAUCCGGAUUUACUGGGGGUAAAGGCAGCGUCGACGGCUGGUCAAGUCUGAAGUGAAAGCCCGGGGAUUAACCCCGGAACGGCUUUGGAAACUGAGCAGCUAGAGUGAUGGAGAGGUAAGCGGAAUUCCUAGGGUAGCGGGGAAAUGCGUAGAUAUUAGGAGGAACACCAGUGGCGAAGGCGGCUUACUGGACAGUAACUGACGUUGAGGCUCGAAAGCGUGGGGAGCAAACAGGAUUAGAUACCCGGGUAGUC
rnacentral:rRNA from 1 species